rnacentral:rRNA from 1 species
AUUGAACGCUGGCGGCAGGCUUAACACAUGCAAGUCGAGCGGAGAUGAGGUGCUUGCACCUUAUCUUAGCGGCGGACGGGUGAGUAAUGCUUAGGAAUCUGCCUAUUAGUGGGGGACAACAUUCCGAAAGGAAUGCUAAUACCGCAUACGCCCUACGGGGGAAAGCAGGGGAUCUUCGGACCUUGCGCUAAUAGAUGAGCCUACGUCGGAUUAGCUAGUUGGUGGGGUAAAGGCCUACCAAGGCGACGAUCUGUAGCGGGUCUGAGAGGAUGAUCCGCCACACUGGGACGGAGACACGGCCCAGACUCCUACGGGAGGCAGCAGUGGGGAAUAUUGGACAAUGGGCAGAAGCCUGAUCCAGCCAUGCCGCGUGUGUGAAGAAGGCCUUUUGGUUGUAAAGCACUUUAAGCGAGGAGGAGGCUACCUGGAUUAAUACUCUAGGAUAGUGGACGUUACUCGCAGAAUAAGCACCGGCUAACUCUGUGCCAGCCGCCGCCGUAAAAC